UCUGAAGUUUUAGAAAUAAUUCCAUCAGUAUUUUUGGCCGAUUUCAUCAAUCUUCAGCAAUGCAUUGCUUUCUCUCUUUACUGUUGGUCAUUAUUGGGCUACAUUUGAGCGUUCAGUCCACAUCAGUGCUGACUGUGCCGAAUGGGGUCUGGUGGGGGACUUGGGAUGAAAUAAAAGUGAUUAAACAUGUAAUUGGUAAUUGACGGUUCAGUCACUGUUAGUAAUGAACAGCGUCUGCUUAAGAUUUCCUUAAGUACCUGCUUAAUACUAAAGAACAUGAAGCUCAAGUCACUGUGGGUUGUGUUCAAGUUAACCCUAAAACAUUGCUUGUGGCUCCAUCUUUCCAAUGGAGGAUUGUCGUGUUUUGUUUUUAAGGUGUAUAGACCGCCCUCUGUUAUUGGGGAUGAUAACAGAGUACUAACCGGGAUUCGUCUUUACUGUACCAGCCUAUCGAAUCUCUUUACGGGCUCAUAUGUGGACUACAGACAGUCAGUUCAGUCAGAAGUAGACCGCUCCGAUCAGUGGAUAUUAAAUGGACUGGAUGGAUCUUGUUCCUGUGUGUCCUUAUUAACUGCUUUUCAGCUAAGAUUUGAAGACGGCAUGAUCACAAACAUCAAGUGUAAGAGGACGACCAGAAACGCGAGACGGAUCAUAAUUGAUCAUCAUACUAUAAUGAACUAUAGUAUUAACUGCAUCAUACAGUAUAGUUUAAUGUGCAGUCCACUGAUUAUAAAGUUUACUAGAUAGCCUCUCACUUAUCACACAGCUAUUUAUAAAAAUAUUUAUAAUGAAAUAAUGAUUAGAGUUUUAAUUCCUUCAUGUAAUUCUUUAGCUUGAAGACUCCUGAUCUGGCAACAAAUAUCAGCAUUAAAGUUUCUUUCUAAGAAGCACCUUGCAGUUUCACAUCCUUUACUGUAACAUCUUACUGUACAACAUUUUUUAUUACAGUAGUAUAUAUGGCAGAUGCUUCUAUACAAGCUUACAUUGCAUUCAAAGUAAACCUAAUAUCAUACAUGCAUCAUGUAGCCGUGUAUUAAAAUGUAUUCAGUUAGCCUGAAAUGGCACAAUGCACUCUAUUGACAAUAAUGUCUUACAAAAAUGUUCAUGGAAAGGGAUGCAAAAAUGUAUACAAACAACAUUUUAAUAUUUGAGGCAUUCUUGGUUUAGCAGGACAUCCAUGUCUAAGAAUUAACAUAAUCUUUGAAAGACAGAAAUACCGUCUUAUAUUUUAUUUCGCCCUUAUAUUAUGCCCUUCCCACUAAACUGACUCACAUUUAAAUGUAUCUUUGCAUCACACUCCUUUCUCUAAAUGCAUUUGGAUUUGACUGACUAAUCAAACAAUGAAUAAAACAGGUACAUUUACAAUAACUUUAAUUUCUGUAGAACUCCAAUCAUAAGAAGAUCUUUACAAUAUAUAUUUAAAGUAUUUCUGUGAACUACUAUGAUAUCAAAAUAAAAAAAUACAUUGAAUACAAAUGCCAAGCAACGCAGUUUUAAAUGAGCUAAACUUUGUCUGAGUGACAUUUGACCUAUUUCGUGUUUGUGUUAUUGUGAGUUUACAUGCAGGUCAUUCACUUUGAUAUCUAAGCAUAUCUGUAUUUCUGUGCCACAGUUUUGCAUAAUUGUCUUGAACCAGA